CUCUCUCUCUCUCUCUCUCUCUCUCUCUCUCUCUCUCUCUCCAUUGCAGCAGCCGUGAAUCUCCUACCCGAAGAAACACACGCCGUGAAGCUCCUCUCCAUAGGCUGAUGUAUUUUUAGCCCCACAGAUCAAUGUUGCCACUACAAGGUUCAAUAUUGAAAUGUGAUUAUCAGAAGCAGUGGGCCAUCAUUGAAAGAUUACCCUUGUAGUGAGUCCAAUCAAGGCUGACAAGCUAAAGAAGUCAUUGGAGAAUGAAAUUCAUUUUUUCAAGGGAAGGGUUUCACAACUUAAAAGUGAUCUUGUGUCAAAGUCUACAGAAGUUACAUCUGCAGUUUCAGGGAAAGAAGAAGCUCUAUCUUCUGCAUUUGCUGAAAUUGACCGUCUGAAGGAAGAAAAUUCAGUAAAAACGUGAGCAUUAUUGCAUUAUAUGGAGGGUGUUUACUGUGUUGGAGUGUAUUUGUUUCUUGCACAUGAGGGCACGCCUUAGUUGUAAUUCUUAUGAUAGGUUGAGCAAAGUGAAGUAUUGUUUAUUUAUAAAUGUGAAUGUGGGAUGCAUUAUAUGAUUUGAUUGCUAUUUGU